rnacentral:rRNA from 1 species
UGUGCCGCCCUGAAGGGCGUAUGGUGGAUGCCUUGGCAGACAGUACCGAUGAAGGACGUUUGAGGAUGCGAUAAGCCUCGGGGAGCCUCCAACAUGGCUUCGAUCCGAGGAUUUCCGAAUGGGGCAACCCGCCGGCCGUCAUGGGCCGGCACGGAACCUUGUUGUUCCGGGGGUACGCAGGGAAGUGAAACAUCUCAGUACCUGCAGGAAGGGAUACUCCGUGAGUAGUGGCGAGCGAAAGCGGAUCAGACCAAACCAUGGGCGCGUGAUACCCGUCGGGGGUUGCGUUCGUGGUGUUGAGGGAGCGUGUGUCCCGGUUCCGACGGACCGGGCGGGAGUCAUAAAACGGCUUGCAAGGGGAACAGGCUUGAAGGCCUGGCCGCAGAGGGUGCCAGCCCCGUACCUGGAAGCUUGCCGUCUUCCGAUCAUGUGUCCCAAGUAGCGCGGGCCUCGUGGAAUCCCGUGUGAAUCGGCCCCGACCGUGGGGUAAGUCUAAGCAUACCUGUCUGACCGAUAGCGUACCAGUACCGUGAGGGAAAGGUGAAAAGCACCCCGGGAGGGGAGUGAAAGAGUUCCUGAAACCGUGCGCCUACAAUCCGUCGGAGCCUCCUUGUGGGGUGACGGCGUGCCUAUCGAAAAAUGAGUCUGCGAGUCAGUGGUGCGUGGCGAGGCUAACCCGUGGUGGGGGAGCCGUAGCGAAGGCGAGUCUCAAAAGGCGUUUUGAGUCGCGCGCCCUGGACCCGAAGCGGGAUGAUCUAGCCCUGGGCAGGUUGAAGCGCGGGUAAGACCGCGUGGAGGACCGAACCCACCUGGGUUGAAAACCGGGGGGAUGACCUGGGGCUAGGGGUGAAAGGCCAAUCAAAUUCCGUGAUAG